rnacentral:rRNA from 1 species
GAUGAACGCUGGCGGCGUGCCUAAUACAUGCAAGUCGAGCGAACAGACGAGGAGCUUGCUCCUCUGACGUUAGCGGCGGACGGGUGAGUAACACGUGGAUAACCUACCUAUAAGACUGGGAUAACUUCGGGAAACCGGAGCUAAUACCGGAUAAUAUAUUGAACCGCAUGGUUCAAUAGUGAAAGACGGUUUUGCUGUCACUUAUAGAUGGAUCCGCGCCGCAUUAGCUAGUUGGUAAGGUAACGGCUUACCAAGGCAACGAUGCGUAGCCGACCUGAGAGGGGGAUCGGCCACACUGGAACUGAGACACGGUCCAGACUCCUACGGGAGGCAGCAGUAGGGAAUCUUCCGCAAUGGGCGAAAGCCUGACGGAGCAACGCCGCGUGAAUGAUGAAGGUCUUCGGAUCGUAAAACUCUGUUAUUAGGGAAGAACAAAUGUGUAAGUAACUAUGCACGUCUUGACGGUACCUAAGCAGAAAGCCACGGCUAACUACGU